rnacentral:lncRNA from 1 species
UAGCACAUAGUACCUUGGUCUGCAAAUAUCUCUUCUCGUUUACUUUGUAUACAGCAGCUUUUCAGAUUUCUGUAUUCUUUGAACUGAUUUAAUGUUAUAUAAAGAUGAUCACCAAGUGUGUGUGUGUGUGUGUGUGUGUGUGUGUGUGUUUGUGUGUGUGUGUAUCUACUGGACUUUAGAAAUGCGUGCCACCGACAUGAUAAAUACUAACCAGAACAAAGUUUGCCUGAAUUUUUACUCUUCUUCAUACAAAAGCAAAUACCUUAAGUAACGUUAGUUGGUGUUUUUAUAGACGCCCUGUUUAUCAGCCAUAAUGUUUGAUAACACGAGAAUAAAGCAAAGUAUCGUAUGUAAACCUUUUCCCCAAAUAUAAUUCAUUUUAUAAUUUAAAGUUAUUUUUAAUGAGGAAAAUUUGUGCAUCUUUAAAAGUAAACAUAAAGGAAUUGCUAAGUUAUUAUGGACUCUGAUCUCUUUAUGUAUAUUAUUUUAAGACAACCAAUGAUAAUAAUAAUAAUAGAAACAUGAAAAAACGCCUCUCUAUCAUAUCUUGAUUUGACCAAUCACAUUAGCGCUUUUAACCCAAUUCAUUUGCCGCCGAAAAUACAACAUACCUUCAUAACUAUAGCAUACGUUGCUAAAUAUUCCCAAUGUAACGAGACGUUGCGCUUAUAUUUAGUGACGAGUGUCACUAAUAUAAUAUUAAUGCAAUCAAAUAUGGAUUUAGAGCAGGAGGAAACCCUCGCGACCGAACACAGUGUUGAUGGUGAAGGAGACAACAGCUUUUACCUCAACAGGUUUACGUUGACAAAACAUCACUUCUCAUCCGCCACUGUCUCCUCUCUUCGUGUGCUGAGUGAAGAUAUUUCCCCUCAGAUGCAGUGUCAAACUGGACAGAGCAGAAAGACAUCCGCAGCAAAACAGGUAAAGUUACCUUAGAUUUCAUUAGACGGGUCCUAAUCAAAUCUACACGACAGCAAUUCUACAUGUAUUGUGUGUUGACAUCUCUAUUUUUUUAUUAAAAAGCAAACCCACAGCACUUUGGUGACUUCAACAAAUCCUGCAAGGUUUGUAAACCUUUUUUUGAAUUUAAAAAAAUAUGCAUUCCACUGUAAAAUUCACAGAGUAAUAAUUUGCUUUGCUCGGUCUUUACCAGAGUUAAAGCUCCAGUUAACGAAGAAGAAAGUUCUUCAGAAAGGGAAUCCAGAGAAGGUAACCCAGUUGAUGCACCUAGUCUGGAAAAGUUAAUCUUCUAAAUUUAAACAAGUUCAAUAAGAUCUUCAACUAGAUAAAUAGCUCUUCAAAACGUUUGCAAUGUGAGCUACAUACACCUGGUCCACCCUGUUUCACAGUUUGGAGAUUCAAUAAGUUAAUGGCUAAUACAUAUGUAACUUCUGCCCCCCAGUGUUGAGACCCAUUCCCAUACAUGGCACCAUCUCAUUAGAUGCUUCUCACCAGCAGUCUGGGCCUACUUUGAGACGCUCAGUGAGAAUUAAUGGCAAAACAGCUGGAACAAAAGUUGAUCCAUCCACAAUGAAGAGAACUCAACUUCUGAAUACUCAACACAGGUCAAUACGAAGUACACAUAUUAGUAACUUUCAGAUUAUCGAUUGCUAAAACAUACAGUAGGGUCUAAAACCAUACUGUGAAUAUUUGAGAUUCAAAGAUGCUCUUUGGAACUUAUUUCAAAAUAUUAUCUAAUCCCAAUUUUUCAUUCUAAC